rnacentral:hammerhead_ribozyme from 1 species
ACGCGAAAACGGGCAGUGAUUGCACCGUUCGUCCAGGCGUGGCGGCCUGGGCCUGAUGAGCAGCCAACA